UACGUAGGGUGCAAGCGUUAAUCGGAAUUACUGGGCGUAAAGCGUGCGCAGGCGGUGAUGUAAGACAGGUGUGAAAUCCCCGGGCUUAACCUGGGAACUGCAUUUGUGACUGCAUCGCUGGAGUGCGGCAGAGGGGGAUGGAAUUCCGCGCGUAGCAGUGAAAUGCGUAGAUAUCUGGAGGAACACCGGUGGCGAAGGCGGCGUCCUGGACCAACACUGACACUGAGGAGCGAAAGCCAGGGGAGCAAACGGG
rnacentral:rRNA from 1 species